rnacentral:rRNA from 1 species
CCCUUUGGGGUGUGACUGCGUACCUUUUGUAUAAUGGGUCAGCGACUUAUAUUCUGUAGCAAGGUUAACCGUAUAGGGGAGCCGGAGGGAAACCGAGUCUUAACCGGGCGUUAAGUUGCAGGGUAUAGACCCGAAACCCGGUGAUCUAGCCAUGGGCAGGUUGAAGGUUGGGUAACACUAACUGGAGGACCGAACCGACUAAUGUUGAAAAAUUAGCGGAUGACCUGUGGCUGGGGGUGAAAGGCCAAUCAAACCGGGAGAUAGCUGGUUCUCCCCGAAAGCUAUUUAGGUAGCGCCUCGUGAAUUCAUCUCCGGGGGUAGAGCACUGUUUCGGCUAGGGGGCCAUCCCGGCUUACCAACCCGAUGCAAACUGCGAAUACCGGAGAAUGUUAUCACGGGAGACACACGGCGGGUGCUAACGUCCGUCGUGAAGAGGGAAACAACCCAGACCGCCAGCUAAGGUCCCAAAGUCAUGGUUAAGUGGGAAACGAUGUGGGAAGGCCCAGACAGCCAGGAUGUUGGCUUAGAAGCAGCCAUCAUUUAAAGAAAGCGUAAUAGCUCACUGGUCGAGUCGGCCUGCGCGGAAGAUGUAACGGGGCUAAACCAUGCACCGAAGCUGCGGCAGCGACACUCAGGUGUUGUUGGGUAGGGGAGCGUUCUGUAAGCCUGCGAAGGUGGCCUGUGAGGGUUGCUGGAGGUAUCAGAAGUGCGAAUGCUGACAUAAGUAACGAUAAAGCGGGUGAAAAGCCCGCUCGCCGGAAGACCAAGGGUUCCUGUCCAACGUUAAUCGGGGCAGGGUGAGUCGACCCCUAAGGCGAGGCCGAAAGGCGUAGUCGAUGGGAAACGGGUUAAUAUUCCCGUACUUGGUGUUACUGCGAAGGGGGGACGGAGAAGGCUAUGUUGGCCGGGCGACGGUUGUCCCGGUUUAAGCGUGUAGGUGUGUGUUCCAGGUAAAUCCGGUU